GCAAAACGCGAAGAACCUUACCUACUCUUGACAUCUACGGAAGACUGCAGAGAUGCGGUUGUGCCUUCGGGAACCGUAAGACAGGUGCUGCAUGGCUGUCGUCAGCUCGUGUUGUGAAAUGUUGGGUUAAGUCCCGCAACGAGCGCGACCCCUAUCCUUAGUUGCCAGCGAGUUAAGUCGGGAACUCUAGGGAGACUGCCGGUGAUAAACCGGAGGAAGGUGGGGACGACGUCAAGUCAUCAUGGCCCUUACGAGUAGGGCUACACACGUGCUACAAUGGUACGUACAGAGGGAGGCAAGCUGGCGACAGUGAGCGGAUCUCUUAAAGCGUAUCGUAGUCCGGAUCGCAGUCUGCAACUCGACUGCGUGAAGUCGGAAUCGCUAGUAAUCGUGGAUCAGAAUGUCACGGUGAAUACGUUCCCGGGUCUUGUACACACCG
rnacentral:rRNA from 1 species